GACGAACCGUGCGAACGUUGUUCGGAAUCACUGGGCUUAAAGGGCGCGUAGGCGGUCGAUCAAGUCUGGGGUGAAAUCUUUCGGCUUAACCGGAAAAGUGCCUGGGAUACUGAUCGGCUGGAGGGAGGUAGGGGGAGCUGGAACUUCCAGUGGAGCGGUGAAAUGCGUAGAUAUCAGGAGGAACACCUGUGGCGAAAGCGGCUCACUGGACCACAACUGACGCUGAGGCGCGAAAGCUAGGGGAGCAAACAGG
rnacentral:rRNA from 1 species